rnacentral:piRNA from 1 species
UGAUCUACUGUGGUAGGUGCCUCUA